rnacentral:lncRNA from 1 species
UCAGGGAAUCUUAUAUCUGUUUUAUUCACAUCUAAUGUUAUGUGUCAUAUUUACAAAAUUGCACAAAUUUACCAGAAAUAUAUUACGUACUGUGUACAUGAUAACAAUUCAAAAUAAAUAACAAAUCAUCAAAGGAAUGUUCAACUUCUCCACUCUCUCAUAACAAAAACAAAAUAAUAUAGAGAAAAUCUGUUCAAGCUGAUAACAGGAGAAAGUUUACAUCAAUACUGGCGGGUAAUUCAUAUUUUUUUCUGAUUUUUCUUUUUUACAUUAUCCAACCCAAAUUUAAAAUGUACCAAAAACCCUGAAAAAAGUAAUUCCUCAUCUAUCAUCCCUCAUGGUAGGAUUCAGGACUGAGUAGAAAGAUACACCUUUAAACUUAGGUUUUCAUUAUUUUAUGAACAAAAUGCUGAGAUUUUUAAAUAGGACUUUAUUUUAGAACUUUAAUUGGCAUUUUUUUUAAUUUCAGGCUUAAAUAAAAGCCGUUGUCGUUCUUACAAAGCAGAUCAGUAUAUUAUAAAGUGUAAAAAAAAAUAGUAAGCCCUAAAGAACAAAAAACACAUUUUGAAGCUAUCAGUACUUUCCUUGGAAAAAGGGGGAUGGGUAAUAAAAAUGUGGAACAUAACUGGAUCGGAUGCAUGCAAAUGUACAAGUCUUGUGAUGAUUAUGAUUAUUUUUUUAUGAAAUUAACUUUUCAACGAGGAAGAAAUGGAUGAAAAAAAAUCUAUGUUUAAAACAGUAAGAGGUAAGAAUGAAAAAAGAAGAAAGAAGAUCUCUAUUGUAGAUCUUAACAAUAAUUCUAAAAGAUGGUAUUAAUGUGUAUAGAUUUAUCACAUAAACAUGAUUGAAAAAUCAUUGAAAAAUAUCUCAUAAAAUUCAUGCAAAAAUAAUAAAGUAGAAGUUAUCAAAAGUCAAACUGGACGGAUUUCAUCACAUGUAAUUCCUUUUUUUCUGACAUUGAUUCACGUAAAUAAUUUUAUACAAGAGUUGGAAGAGAGAUAAUGUGCUGUACUUUAACAUCAUGCAUGGUUCAGUAAUGUAUAGUGAUGUAAAUUCAUAAAUUAUUGCAAGGUUUUUAUGCCAAUAAUGCGACUGGAUGAGUAUCGCAAUUAUAAGAACUUGCAUUAUAUCUGACUUGAUAUAUAGUAACUGAAUGCAGAAGAUUUUAAAAAUCACAAUUAAUAAUCUCACAUUUGAGUCCAUUCUACAAAACUUUCAAUAUCAAAUGCAAGCAAUAAUUAUUGAAUUUACAGUAAGUGCUGGUAGAAAUAACUUAUCACAAGUAAGUUGAGUUUAAAAACAUGUUCAAAAUCAAAUUUAGCCUAUAGGCAUAAAGCUAAAUAGAAGACACUCUGAAAUCGGUUAAAAAUACAAGUUCAGGUGCUCUUCAGAUGCCUUCAAAUAUUGUACAUUGGUUAAAAUAAUGCCCCAUACACCACAAAAAACAAUCAUAACUACGUCAUGCAAACAUAGUAUGCAUAGACAAUGAUUUAUCUUGAUUGAGUUAAGGUAAAAACUGCUUUUCUCAUAUAGACGCUGUAUAAACAUAUUCUAAAUUGCCCAAAAUGUGUAAGUAAAAGGACAUAAAUGACAUCCAUUAAACAAUUAAGGUAUAUAGAAUGAUUUUUACUUUGAACAAUGACAUAUGUUUGUUUCAGAUAAAAGAAUUGUACAAAUAUAUGCUAUCCAAGUUUUUCCUUACAUAUACAUCAGUUUUUCAUCAACAGGGAAAUUAAAUGAGAAAAACAAAUUACUUUUUUUAAUAUCUACACUUCUAUAAAGGUCUGUCUAAAAAAGUGACAUUUAAUACAAUAGUAACCAUAUCCUUUACAAUAAAAUCUGUUUAUACUGGGGUUUUGUUCUUGAAAUAAAUUUUAAUAAAUUUAUAUUAACACACAUAUAUAAUAACAGUCAAUUGUAGUUAACAUUAAUAAAUUACAAUGUCUUACAAUAACAACUAUGUCUUUCAAUAAAUUACUAUGUCUUUCAAUAAUCAAUACUAUUACUAUGUCUUACAAUAAAGAUUUAACAACUACAUAACAUACUCUUUCAACAAUCAACUGACUCACAGGUACACUUGAUAAAUAUAGUAUACAGUGAAAACUAAUUAUUAGACUGCAAUAUGACACAACACAUUAUUAGACUGCAAUAUGACACAACACAGGUAUGUUAACAUAAAAACUAUUUUUGAUAUGCCAGCUGUAACCAAUCAUUUGCCAGAUAUUUGUGGUACAAGCAAACAAGAGUUUAACUGGAGUACUAAGCAUUUGCCAGAUAUUUGUGGUACAAGCAAACAAGAGUUUAACUGGAGUUACUUAUGCAUAUAUACUGGCACAUAUUUUUUGUGCAACAAUAAAGUUUCCAUGAUAGUCAUUCUUAAGACUUAACAACAUGGGGUUUCAACCCAGGUUUAAAAGGGGGUUUCAACUAUAUGUCUUAAUUCAAAUGCAUUAAUCGUCCAAAAAAAGGGGGUUUAAAACCCCCUCCCCCUUGACCUGCCAGAUAAAUUAAAACCCAAUGACUAUAAAAUCACUUUUUUGUUCUGAUUUUUUUUCCGGUUUAACUUGAUAAUAAAUCUUUACACUGUUUAAUUGGAUCUCAUAUUUUUCAAGUAAAAACAAUGCUCUGCCCAGAAAUUUUAUCAACAAGAUUUAUUAGAAUAUUGAAUACAAUAGCUGGACCCAUUUCUUUCCAAGGUGUUGUAUAACGAAACAAAAGAAAUGGAAUGUCAAUUCAAUAGGAUUGAUACCAUAUGCAUCUAGAAUAUUAUCGACACUGACAACCCCCCAUGGCUGAGUGGAAAUGUAAAAAUUCCAUCUAUAUUUUAUAAGUGGUACUAGAAAGUGUUAACAGUAAAAAUACAUAUAUUAAUUAUCUCCCUUAAAUGUUAAAAUUAUUUCUACAUCAAUAUAAAGAUAAAAUGGAUAGAUCACAGGAAUUCCUUGACUGAAAAAAAUAAUCCUGGAAGAAUGCAUAAAAUUUAACAUUUAAUACUACUUCUGUGACUUUUAUAACAAUGAUUAAGUCAAUUACAAUAAUCACUAAAAUGUUUCACACUACAUGAAGAUAAUAGAUGAAAAAUAUUGUGAUAAAUGGGACCUUCAACUACACACUCACAAUGAGAUACAGACUCAAUCACACUCUAGGGGGUGGGGGUAAAAUUCUAAUAAUUGGGAAGGACACAAACUUUUGGCAAAACAACAACCUCUAAAAACUAUAUUUUAAAUCAUUUCAAAAUCUCAUGUGUGACCUGAAGUUUGCUAUUUGAGAAAACAUAUAAAAUAUGAAUUCAAACUAGGUUUUAUGGAUCAAGAUGUUUUUAUAUUUAUCUGACCUUUUUCAGCAUUCACACAAAGUUUAAUGGUCACAAAUGAUUUUUUGAAAUGACAUUUUACAACUGUAGUGUAUAACAUUAAUACAACAAAUUUUUCUUGAAUGUCUUCUUCACUAAGAUCAUAAUAAUACAAAAGCUACUAAAUGUUGAUAUUCCAAAGACCUACUUCCUUACUAAAUAAAUCUUUCUAUGAUUCUAAGGCUUUUUUUCAAAACUUAUUAAAAGACAUAUUUUUUGUUUGUUUGGUGAGAAAACCACAGUGAUUAAAGAAAUGCCCAAUUCUUAGAACUUGUUUGGUUUUCAUAAAAAAAAAAAAAGAGUACAUAAGACCAGUUAAAAAUGUAUGGUUCUCAAGCCCCACCCGUACCAAAUAUCAAACAUUUUGGUAAAAAAUACCGCUUUAAUUAUUUUUCUUAACAUUUUUACCUUCUUUGAAAAUCUGUAUAACCAAAAAGGUAAGUAUAGAGUUACUUCCCUUGAACCUAACAAAAUAAAGUUUGAAAAGUUAUUUCAGCUUUCAUGUUUAUUCUAGUAUUGAGACAACAAGAUUUCCAAGGGGCAAACAUUGUUUCGCCAGAAUGAAUUUGAACACCAUGCAAACUACAACCAAAUUGUACCAACACAAUUAACAUGAGGGUUUGAGUAAAACAUUUGAAUGGAUUAAGUAGGUUUUGAUUUGAAUAAAAAAAACCAACAAUAAAUAGAAAUAAAUAGUUAAACAAAUUUUGUCCAUAUGCUUUUAUAUUUUGUUGUUCAAAAAUAUCUUUAAGCUUCUUGUUCUUAUCAUAAUUAAUUAUCUUUCAUGAUUUCAAAGUUCUCAAUAUCAAUCAAAAAUAAUUUAUCUAAAAAUAUCAUAGAGACUGUUAAAAACACCAACUUAAGCUACUUGUUUUUGUUGUUCAAUUUGUUGUUGUGACAACUGUUGCUGUGGUAACUGUUGCUGUGGAAACUGUUGUUGUUGUUGUAUCUGCUGUUGUUGUUGAAGUUGUAACUGUAAUUGUUGUUGGUCGACGGGGGAUGGAUUCAAUGCUGGCUGUGUGUAAUGGUCAUACAUCAUCUGGGCCACAUUGUAUACAUAUGUUAUGUCUGGACGCUGGUCAGGUAUUGGGUUAAUACAUAAGGCUACUACAUUUCUAAGCU